GCAUUAACAAUUAUGAGUUUAUGACAACCAGAAGCUCUCCUAGAGACUAGAAACCUUAGCUUGUCAGAAAGAAAGGACAAAUAAGAUAUAGACCAGGCUUAGAGGAACUUGGAGAUGAGUGUGGAUGAAUUGAAUGAGAAUUAGAUCAGAAAUAAAAGGAAUCUGGAGGUGGGUGUGAAUGAACUGAAUGAGAUUGAUGAAAGGUGGUUGGGUAAGUUGUUAAAUGCAAUUCAUCCACACCCACCUCCAAGUUCCUCUAAGUCUGGUCUAUAUGUUAUUUGUCCUUUCUUUUUGACAAGCUAAGGUUUCUAGUCUCUAGCAGAGCUUCUGGUUGCCAAAAUUGUUAAUGCUUGAGACUUUAUCAAGAUGGCACUCCUAAUCCUUGAAUAGUCUGUAUCUUUCAUUAAUGGAGAACGGUUAAUGCAGUACUUCUGGGUAUGAUUACUACAAUUCUCUAAUUUGCACUCGUAAUCCCUAAACCUAAUCUAAUGCUUGAUCAUCCUUUCCUUUAGCUUGUUUGAUUGGUAUUGCUCCAUAAGUGAGGUGAAUUUUGGUUUCCUUGGUUUACUGCAGGGAUUUUUUUUUUGGCUAAAUUACUUAUUUACGACUUGGGUCUGGUGACUCUGGUCUCCUGUCUCACCAUCUCUGGGACUGUAAGGUUCUCUAAUGUCGCUACAGGCUAGUCAAUCCUUUUGAUGCAAUCCGUAAUUAGUUUGUAUCGAGCUGAAGUUUAUUGCUACGGUGAGCCUUAACUUUGAAAAAGAUGUUUCAGGGGUACCGAAAUCAAUUUCAGAUUCACCGCCAACUCAGUAUACCGUAUAAAUAAAGUUGUCUUCAUUGGUGAGUGAAAGGUAUAGAGGAUGGAUAAGAAUUUGAAGCUGAUGGUAAUAUUCUCAUAUGCCAACUCCCACACACACACACGUGUUCUUUCUCCAUCUUCAUUGCUUUUCAGACACCAAGUAAUAGUGAAUCAUUGUAACUUCAUAUUUUAUAUCUACAG